AAAAGUUUUGGGAGCUAUGACUUCGACAUCCGCAACGUGGGCACUUGGAUGCGAACGAGCUGGUAGUGCAACCGACCAUCUUCU
rnacentral:ncRNA from 2 species